CCUGGUUUCUAUUUACACAGGCAAUGGAGCUUCGGAUCACACCUCAACUCAAAUGGGUUUUCUCAAUACUCUCAUAUCUCCCCUCCAUUUCAUCAACCAGCUCACAAUACUUCUCCAUCAUUCAACUGCUGGUUUCUGAUUAUCCAAUGUUAUGGUGAAACACAAAGCAGUGAAAAGCAAGCAGCCCUCAAUUGAAUCAGCAAAAGCGUCGACCCUGUCAGUCAUCCCUGAAGAGACUGAAAGACUACUCGGUGAUUGCACGAAAGAUUUCCCAUAUUUCUUUGGAGACAUACAAAAUGCAAAUAGCAGCCAUGACAUUACUGAAGAGAUGAAGAUGAAUAUCAAUAAGAAUAAGCCCGAUGCGUCCCUAUAUGUGAUUGACAAGGCAGAACUACCUAUAGCUGAGGAUACAUUUUCUAAUGUUGCUGGUUUACCACACUUCAGUUUCUUAUUUGAAAACCUUGAGAAAAUCGAAGGCAUCAUAGUUGAUUCAGGCAAUGCAAGACUGGAGAGAGAAAUACUGUUGCACAUAGAGAGGCUCGGAGCAUUGAAAUUAUUCCAUGCUUUUCUAUCUAGGACCCUAAAAGAUCCCAAAAUUUUAGAUGUUACUGGAACAUGUCCUGAACAUGCAAUGGUUCAGCCCAUGGAUGAGCAAGCAGAUGGUUACAUUGUUUCCUCUGGUAAAAAGGUGGAGAGAAAAGCUCAAAGAGAGAGAGCUUUAAAGAAGGUGACCGAUGAGCCCAUUGUGUGCUCUUCUUUGAAAAGAGUUAAAAAAUCAACUAAAUCUAUCAAUGCAGCCUUGACCCAUAAGGGUCAUCCUGGAAAUUCAAAAUCCAGAAGCCAUUUGAGAGCUCAAAGUGAAGUGGAGAUGUCAAGAGGGGUUCAGGAAGUUGCAAAAUUGGAAAAGAUUCGUGCAAAUUUGGAAGAGAAUCUUGGACGAGAUGCAAGUUUUUCUGUGUGGGCAGAGGCAGCCGGAAUCAAUGAGAAGGUGUUGAAGCAGCAACUGCAUUUCGGUUGGUUCUGCAGAGAUAAGCUUCUAAGAAGCACCCGUCCCUUGGUUAUGUACCUUGCAAAAAGUUACAGGGGAAGGGGGAUCGGCUUUGAAGAUCUACUUCAGGCAGGGAGCUUGGGUGUUCUUCAAGGUGCUGAGCGGUUUGACCACACAAGGGGUUAUCGUUUCUCUACCUAUGUCCAGUAUUGGAUCAGAAAAUCUCUCUCUGCAUUGGUGGCACGGCACUCCAGGGGAGUCCAGAUUCCUAUGGCCUUGAACAAGGUAUUAAACCAAACUGUCAAAGCCAAAAGGGCUCUUCAUCAGAUGCAUGGAAGACACCCGAGGGAAGUUGAGAUUGCAGAGUUCACCGGCUUGUCACUAGUUAAUGUAAGAUUGGCAAACAAGUGCUUGAGAGUUCACGGUUCCAUUGAUCAGAGAAUUGGUGACAACUGGGGUGCAACGUAUAUGGAAGUAACAGCUGAUACAUUCAUUGAAACACCUGAGAAAAUGGUUAUGAAGCAGCAUAUGAGAGAAGCCAUCCAUGAGGUCUUGGUCAAUUUGCACCCUAGAGAGAAGCAGGUAUUGAUGCUGAGAUAUGGUCUUUGGGACGGUAGAUGCAAGUCGCUUGAAGAGAUUGGAAGGCUAUACAAUGUAACCAAAGAAUGGAUUAGAAAGAUAGAGAAAAUGGCUCUGGAAAAGGUUAGGAAGGAGGAAGUCCAGUGCAAUCUAAACUUCUUUCUAAACUCAUAACUGAAAGGAUAUGAUAUUCUUUUGGGAUUUUCUAAACCUCCACAAUGAAACAUUCAAGAAUUUGGAGGAACCAUUUGAUAGUAUUAGUAUCAAUGGGAAUGUUUUGCACACAAAGAAAAGAGUCCAUUUUCUCAUUGCAAGGGAAAUGAUUUCCAAUGGAAUCCGAGGACUUGGAAAUGAGCAAUCUUUACGAGGAAACCUUUGGCAAUCAACAUAUGCAGGGGAAGUAUUCCUUGCAGGAAAAUGCAAAGAGAUUAAGGUUCUAUGCUAUGCCUAGGAUUCUGAGAGUCAAUUAUGCUGAUCUUAACUGAUGGCAGGUUCCCCAUGUACAUAAUGAAGUUUCGACACAAAUGGCCAUUAUCGGUGACAACACAAGUACUUGUCUAAUUGCAUCCAAUCUCUUGUGCCAUGAAAAGGUGAGCAUAUUACAGGGGAUUCUCACUUUAUAAAUGGUGCAAUUGAUGAUAUUACAUAUCAAAAGUGAAAGUUGAUUGCGCUUCAAUGUAGGGCUUACAUCCCGGAGUCAUUUAGAUCUGUACUUGUUUUAACCAGGUGAUGUUCCUUAACUAGUGUAAAAUCGCCAAUAGAAACUCAGACAAAUCUCUCUCUCUCUCUCUCUCUCUCUCUCUCUUUCUUUCUCAUUCACAUGCAAGUGUGCAAUGCCACCAGCCAAACACCAACCAAUGCAUGAUGUAUGGCCCUCUGUAGGGAUGGUAUACAAAGAGACCAUUUAUCUUUUGUACAUAGAGGUCACAAUUAUUUUUGUCCAAAAAAAAAUUCUUGUACUUCGUGACUAACCUCAAACUUUCCAAUUUGAUAUCUAAUGAGUGGGAAUGAUUGUGACCUUCAUGU